rnacentral:tRNA from 1 species
GGGUGUGGCUCAGUGGUAGAGCACUUGCCUGGUAUGUGUGAGGCCCUGGGUUUUAUUCCCUGUACCACCA